ensembl:lncRNA
AAGAGGUCAAGAGGGCCCCCUCCUCCCUUGAGCCCAGCAGACUUGGCUCUCUGUCUCUAGGGCCAGCAUCGCCUCCAGGUCCCCCAGUGUCUGUGCGGAGAGGGUCUGUCAGCAGCUCAAAUGCCUUUCACACUGAUGGAAACCUGGCCCCUUAGCUGGACAGAGUCCAGUGUCCAGGAGUGACUGGGCUGGCAAGGGGCUCCUCCAAAGAUAAAAUUGUUUCCCAACUGCUUCCUGUGGGAGUCUUGGAAGGAGUCCUUGGUUUGAGGUGGGGAAGAUGGAACCAGGAAGUGAGAUCGGGCAAUCACGGAAGGCCCCUCAGUCAGGUGAUGGAGCUCGACUCUGGGAGAAAACGAGGUGGAUUCUUUACCAGCUGAGCCACAAGGGUAGCCUACUCCAGCAGAUCCCUUCUCUAGCAAAUCUUCCCAACCUGGGAAUUGAACUGGUCUCUCCUGCAUUGCAGGCAGAUUCUUUACCAGCUGACCUACCAGGGAAGCCCUUGUAUGCUGCUGCUGCUGCUGCUAAGUCGCUUUAGUCGUGACUGACUCUGUGCGACCCCAUAGACAGCAGCCCACCAGGCUCCGCCAUCCCUGGGAUUCUCCAGGCAAGAGUACUGGAGUGGGAUGCCAUUGCCUUCUCCAAGCCCUUGUAUGAAUGACACCAAAAGAUUAGAAAUAAGUGCAAGUCGUGAAAAGUGAAAGUGUUAGUCGCUCAGUCAUGCCCAUGUCUUUGUGACCCCAUGGAUUGUAGCCCACCUAGCCCCUCUGUCCAUGGAAUUCUCCAGGCAAGAAUCCCGGAAUGGGUUGCCAUUCUCUUCUCCAGGGGAUCUUCCCAACCCAGGGAUCGAACCCGGGUCUCCUGAAUUGCAGGCAGAUUCUUUACCAUCUGAGCCACCAGGGAAGCUUUGGAAGGAGAGGAAAAAAGAAAUCAAGAGAAAGUGAAAGUUGGGGAGGCCCAAGAAAAGAUCUGGAGUGGGGAUUGGGGUGGGGCGGUCCCCACAGCUCAGGGGUGACAUAGAGUAGGUUGGGAACCAUGAUCACCUGGAAUUGAGGGUGUAACUCCACGGACGGACACUUUCAGCCUCCUGUCUUGGCUCUCCCUUGGCCUGACGUUCCCCCUGUCCUUGCAUGAGUGAGUCCCAACAUUUUGUCAAGAUUGAAUUCAGAUGCCUGCUUCUCCAGGAAGCCUACCCUCCUCCCAGCCCUGAGGCUUCUGGCCUGACCCUAAGGGCCUGUGCACCCAGCGUUAGUGAGCAUGUCAGGGCU